rnacentral:rRNA from 1 species
GACGAACGCUGGCGGCGUGCUUAACACAUGCAAGUCGAACGGAAAGGCCCUGCGUUUGUGGGGUGCUCGAGUGGCGAACGGGUGAGUAACACGUGAGUAACCUGCCCUUGACUUUGGGAUAACUUCAGGAAACUGGGGCUAAUACCGGAUAUGAGCUCCUGCUGCAUGGUGGGGGUCGGAAAGUUUCGGCGGUUGGGGAUGGACUCGCGGCUUAUCAGCUUGUUGGUGGGGUAGGGGCUUACCAAGGCUUUGACGGGUAGCCGGCCUGAGAGGGUGACCGGCCACCUUGGGACUGCGAUACGGCCCAGACUCCUACGGGAGGCAGCAGUGGGGAAUAUUGCACAAUGGGCGGAAGCCUGAUGCAGCAACGCCGCGUGCGGGAUGACGGCCUUCGGGUUGUAAACCGCUUUCGCCUGUGACGAAGCGUGAGUGACGGUAAUGGGUAAAGAAGCACCGGCUAACUACGUG